AUUGAACGCUGGCGGCAUGCUUUACACAUGCAAGUCGAACGGUAACAGGCCGCAAGGUGCUGACGAGUGGCGAACGGGUGAGUAAUGCAUCGGAACGUGCCCAGUCGUGGGGGAUAACGCAGCGAAAGCUGCGCUAAUACCGCAUACGAUCUAUGGAUGAAAGCGGGGGACCGAAAGGCCUCGCGCGAUUGGAGCGGCCGAUGUCAGAUUAGGUAGUUGGUGGGGUAAAGGCUCACCAAGCCAACGAGCUGGAGCUGGGCUGAGAGGACGACCGGCCACACUGGGACUGGGACACGGCCCAGACUACUACGGGAGGCAGCAGUGGGGAAUUUUGGACAAUGGGCGCAAGCCUGAUCCAGCAAUGCCGCGUGCAGGAAGAAGGCCUUCGGGUUGUAAACUGCUUUUGUACGGAACGAAACGGUCCGGGUUAAUACCCUGGGCUAAUGACGGUACCGUAAGAAUAAGCACCGGCUAACUACGUGCCAGCCGCCGCCGUAAAAC
rnacentral:rRNA from 1 species